AUACUUACCUGGCGUAGGCGAUACCGUGAUCAAGCAGGCGGUUCCCCCAGGGUGAGGCUGCUCUAUUGCACUGCGGAGUGGUUGACCCUUGCGAUUAUUUUUAUUGUCAUCAAUAAAAAAAUCAUAAUUCCACAAUGUAUACCCGAAUAAUUACUUUCUUUAUAC
rnacentral:snRNA from 9 species